UGCCUUAUAAAUUUUUAAUAAUAAAUUGGCAUGAAAUCAUUAAGGUUCUGGAUGAGAAAAUUAAGAGAUAAGAUGAGAUAAGAUCCUUCAUUAAAAAGGACUCUUCACCUUCUAACGCUAAUUAAGAGGGGGCGGCAAUUAAUUUUUGGUGUGAGACUUGGUGGGCGUAGAGGACUCCUUCCACACUUGAAACAAUUCUAAGUUGGAAAAAACUAUUGGGUUUCGAUGAUGCAGUGGAAUAUAAAUUU
rnacentral:lncRNA from 1 species